ACAGGUGCUCAGUACAGAUGUCGCCCUCUGUUGGAGAGAAGUUGUGUAUAUGUGUCUCAUAGCCUUAGGCCUAGCUUGCGUCCUCAUCAUUCUUCUUCGGUUCAUCGUCGGCUUUCUCAUCUGGUUGGUACUUGUAUCGCUGAGUGUCACUAGUGUUGUGGGUACAGUAUAUGUUUGGUACAUGUGGCAGGAUAAGAAGAAACAGUUAAAGAACCUGCCAGCUGAUGAUCCGAGAAAGUCAAACAGAGAGAAUGACGUCACACACUGGUUGGUGGGA